GACGAACGCUGGCGGCGUGCUUAACACAUGCAAGUCGAACGGAAAGGCCCUGCUUGCAGGGUACUCGAGUGGCGAACGGGUGAGUAACACGUGGGUGAUCUCCCCUGCACUUCGUGAUAAGCUUGGGAAACUGGGUCUAUUACCCGAUAGGAGCCAUCUUUAGUGUGGUGGUUGGUAAGUUUUUUCGGUGUAGGAGGAGCUCGCGGCCUUUCAGCUAGUUUGUGGGGUAAAGGGGUACCAAGGCGGCGACGGGUAGCCGGCCUGAGAGGGUGUACGGCCACACUGGGACUGAGAGACGGCGCAGACUCCUCCAGGGGGGAGAAGUGGGGAAUAUUGCACAAAGGGGGCAAGCCUGAUGUAGCGAAGCCGCGUGGGGGAUGAAGGCCUUUGGGUUGUAAACUCCUUUCGCGAGGGAGGAAGCGUUUUUGUGACGGUACCUAGAUAAGAAGCACCGGCUAACUACGUG
rnacentral:rRNA from 1 species